GAUGAACGCUGGCGGCGUGCCUAAUACAUGCAAGUCGAGCGAACGGACGAGAAGCUUGCUUCUCUGAUGUUAGCGGCGGACGGGUGAGUAACACGUGGAUAACCUACCUAUAAGACUGGGAUAACUUCGGGAAACCGGAGCUAAUACCGGAUGAUAUUUUGAACCGCAUGGUUCAAAAGUGAAAGACGGUCUUGCUGUCACUUAUAGAUGGAUCCGCGCUGCAUUAGCUAGUUGGUAAGGUAACGGCUUACCAAGGCAACGAUGCAUGGCCGACCUGAGAGGGUGAUCGGCCACACUGGAACUGAGACACGGUCCAGACUCCUACGGUAGGCAGCAGUCGGGAAUCUUCCGCAAUGGGCGAAAGCCUGACGGAGCAACGCCGCGUGAGUGAUGAAGGUCUUCGGAUCGUAAAACUCUGUUAUUAGGGAAGAACAUAUGUGUAAGUAACUGUGCACAUCUUGACGGUACCUAAUCAGAAAGCCACGGCUAACUACGUG
rnacentral:rRNA from 1 species